UACGUAGGGUGCAAGCGUUGUCCGGAAUUAUUGGGCGUAAAGAGCUCGUAGGCGGCUUGUCGCGUCGGUUGUGAAAGCCCGGGGCUUAACCCCCGGGUCUGCAGUCGAUACGGGCAGGCUAGAGUUCGGUAGGGGAGAUCGGAAUUCCUGGUGUAGCGGUGAAAUGACGCAGAUAUCAGGAGGAACACCGGUGGCGAAGGCGGAUCUCUGGGCCGAUACUGACGCUGAGGAGCGAAAGCGUGGGGAGCGAACAGG
rnacentral:rRNA from 1 species